CCGGUGAGCACCUCUUCCCAUCCCGAACAGAGAAGUUAAGCCCGGACGCGCCGAUGGUACUGGAGUCACAUCCGGGAGAGUAGGUGGCCGCCAACC
rnacentral:rRNA from 1 species